ACGAAAUCCCAUGGGAAGAAAGCUUUGAGUAAUAGAUGAACAAGUGAAGUGGCAUUGGCUUGCUUGGAUCAGUGGAGUUGUGCUUCUAGGUAGUUAGAGUUAUGAAUGUCGAUUUCAAGAAGGAUUUUGCGUUCUUUUGGAUACUUCUCUCGGCUUGGUCGCUGUGGUGAUUCUUCAAGUCUCACUAGUCAAUCAUUUCGAGCUUCUCACGAUUUGUAUGGACAUUUUUCUGGGGAUUGUUUAUUUUCUGCAGAAUCUUGUAGCUUUAUCAAGGUUUGUACUCAUUGUUUCUAAAUUUUUUCCUUCUUCGCCCACAUCAAAUUCUGAACCUGGAGGAUGUCGCUUAUUUAUGUGCAGCUUGUCAAACUCGUUUUGGAUUUGCAUCGACUGGUAAACUCAUGAACUGAUGGUAUUGCAUGUUUUAAUGUAGGGUGGGGGCUCUUCCCUUGCUUAUGGAAGGGUUUCGACGUCCAACCUGAAUCUACUGAUGGAUUGUUUCCUUCUGAUUUAUUAUGUGCAAAGAAUGUGGUAACGCCACAAUGUGAGAUAGGACUUUAUCAGGACCUUGUAAUUCCAGCGACAAAUUUUCAUAACUAGUACAAGGGCUUAAUGGUUUUUGGCUGGUGAUGUUUUUGAUUUCCCUAUCAGGAAUGAUAUUAUUCACUGUGUCGUGUGAUGGCAGCUUGCAAAACAACAAUAGGAAGCACAUUCAACUAAAACAGUCAGUGAGGUUAGUGGGACUGGAAGAAAGCCAUAUAGACAAAAGGGCACUGGCCGAGCAAGGUAUGGAACGUUGUGUUGGCCCCAGUUUAGAGGUGGUGCUGUUAUGCAUGGUCCUAAACCACAAAGUCAUGCUAUUGAAUUAAACAAGAAGGUGAGGCGUUUGGGGUUGAAGAUUGCUUUGUCAGCUCGUGCAGCAGAAGGAAAGCCAUGUCUCUCUGUCUCUGCGUCUUUGAUUUUUGCACACUCCAAUGAAACGAUGAAGCGCAUGCGAUUUAGUUUGCACUGUAAGCUCUGUUCCAUGAGGAAUCCUUUUUUACCUUUCACAGGAGAACAGCCAACCAAAAUAAUUCAUUUCUUUGCUGUUUUUGUUAUAAGAUUCAAAUACGUGGCCAAGAUGUUCAUUCCAUGCAUGCUAGUUUUGUCUUCGAGCUAGGAAUUUUUACAGUUGAAUUUUGGUGGGGUAGUUAAAACCUAGGCAUGGCUUUUUUUGUUGUUUUGAACAUGGCUUAGCUUUUGCAAAUUGUGCAUCGGUAAUUGAAGAGGUUAUUAGGGUUGCGAUUUUAUUUUCUCAUAAUAGAAGAUUUUAUUUCCUCGGAGAUGAAAAUUGUUAAUACUGAGAAAACAUGUAAAUAUACAAAAAGUUACUUUAAAAUUAUUUAUUUUAUAUUUCUG